CAGUCGCCGCGGUAACACGAAGGGGGCAAGCGUUGCUCGGAAUGACUGGGCGUAAAGGGCGCGUAGGUGGUGUGGACAGUCAGAUGUGAAAUUCCUGGGCUCAACCUGGGGGCUGCAUUUGAUACGUCCAAACUAGAGUGUGGAAGAGGGUCGUGGAAUUCCCAGUGUAGAGGUGAAAUUCGUAGAUAUUGGGAAGAACACCGGUGGCGAAGGCGGCGACCUGGUCCAUUACUGACGCUGAGGCGCGAAAGCGUGGGGAGCAAACAGGAUUAGAUACCCCCGUAGUCCCUGUCUCUUAUAC
rnacentral:rRNA from 1 species